rnacentral:rRNA from 1 species
UGGGGAAUUUUGGACAAUGGGCGAAAGCCUGAUCCAGCAAUGCCGCGUGUGUGAAGAAGGCCUUCGGGUUGUAAAGCACUUUUGUCCGGAAAGAAAUCCUUGGCUCUAAUACAGUCGGGGGAUGACGGUACCGGAAGAAUAAGCACCGGCUAACUACGUGCCAGCAGCCGCGGUAAUACGUAGGGUGCAAGCGUUAAUCGGAAUUACUGGGCGUAAAGCGUGCGCAGGCGGUUUGCUAAGACCGAUGUGAAAUCCCCGGGCUCAACCUGGGAACUGCAUUGGUGACUGGCAGGCUAGAGUAUGGCAGAGGGGGGUAGAAUUCCACGUGUAGCAGUGAAAUGCGUAGAGAUGUGGAGGAAUACCGAUGGCGAAGGCAGCCCCCUGGGCCAAUACUGACGCUCAUGCACGAAAGCGUGGGGAGCAAAACAGGAUUAGAUACCCCUGGUAGUCCACGCCCUAAACGAUGUCAACUAGUUGUUGGGGAUUCAUUUCCUUAGUAACGUAGCUAACGCGUGAAGUUGACCGCCUGGGGAGUACGGCCGCAAGAUUAAAACUCAAAUGAAUUGACGGGGUCAUAGCUGUUUCCU